CACGCAUGACACACUGCAUAUCAAUAAGCGGAGGAAAAGAAACUAACAAGGAUUCCCUUAGUAACGGCGAGUGAAGCGGGAAGAGCUCAAAUUUGAAAUCUUCAAGGUUCUACCUUGACGAAUUGUAGUUUAUAGAAGUGUUUUCUGUUAGUGGAGUGGCAAAAGUUCUUUGGAAUAGGACAUCAUAGAGGGUGAGAAUCCCGUAUUUGGUCAUUCCUCCUAGCGUUGUGAUACACUUUCAACGAGUCGGAUUGUUUGGGAAUGCAGUCCAAAAUGGGUGGUAAAUUUCAUCUAAAGCUAAAUAUUGGCGAGAGACCGAUAGCGAACAAGUACCGUGAGGGAAAGAUGAAAAGAACUUUGAAAAGAGAGUUAAACAGUACGUGAAAUUGUCAAAAGGGAAGCGUUUGACACCAGUGUUGUUUUUCCGAAAAUCAAUUACGAAUGUUUUAUUUUUGAGGAGUUAUGACUUCAUCGGCUUGCUCCUUUCUUUACGAAACUUUCUUAAUGCACUUUUCGGUUAACAAGUCAACAUCAAUUUCUUUUGUUGUAAAAGGGUAUGAGGAAGGUGGCUUUCUUUUCGGAGAAAGUGUUUAUAGCCUUGUGCCUCUGCAAUCGGAGAGAUUGAGGUCUGCAGCGUAGAUCCUUCGGGGUUAGAUACAUUUGUGCUAAGUUAUAGCUUUUCAUAGACAACUUGUUGACUAUGUUUAGCCUUGUAGCUUACUCGCUUACGCUAUUUUACCUACGCUUAGGAUGUUGACGAGACUGUCGAUCUC
rnacentral:rRNA from 1 species